GACGAACGCUGGCGGCGUGCUUAACACAUGCAAGUCGAACGAAAAUACCAAGCUUGCUUGGUUGAUUAGUGGCGAACGGGUGAGUAACACGUGAGUAACCUGCCCCUUACUUUCCUGGAUAACUGCUCGAAAGGGUAGCUAAUACGGGAUAUUCUGACCAGCCUGCAUGGGUUGGUUUGGAAAGGUUGUUUUUCUGGUAAGGGAUGGGCUCGCGGCCUAUCAGCUUGUUGGUGGGGUGAUGGCCUACCAAGGCUUUGACGGGUAGCCGGCCUGAGAGGGUGGACGGUCACACUGGGACUGAGAUACGGCCCAGACUCCUACGGGAGGCAGCAGUGGGGAAUAUUGCACAAUGGGCGCAAGCCUGAUGCAGCGACGCCGCGUGAGGGAUGAAGGCCUUCGGGUUGUAAACCUCUUUCGUCAGGGAACAAGGCACUGCUUUUUUGGUGGUGUUGAGGGUACCUGGAUAAGAAGCGCCGGCUAACUACGU
rnacentral:rRNA from 1 species